rnacentral:tRNA from 1 species
GCCUUCGUGGUUUAACGGUAGCACACUCGGCACGUAUUCGAGAGGUCCGUGGCUCGAGUCCCGGCGAAGGCA